UGGGGAAUUUUGGACAAUGGGCGAAAGCCUGAUCCAGCCAUGCCGCGUGAGUGAAGAAGGCCUUCGGGUUGUAAAGCUCUUUUAGUCGGAAAGAAAGAGUUGCAAUGAAUAAUUGUGAUUUAUGACGGUACCGACAGAAAAAGCACCGGCUAACUACGUGCCAGCAGCCGCGGUAAUACGUAGGGUGCGGGCGUUAAUCGGAAUUACUGGGCGUAAAGGGUGCGCAGGCGGUCUUGCAAGUCAGAUGUGAAAGCCCCGGGCUUAACCUGGGAAUUGCGUUUGAAACUGCAAGACUAGAGUGCAGCAGAGGGGAGUGGAAUUCCAUGUGUAGCAGUGAAAUGCGUAGAGAUGUGGAAGAACACCGAUGGCGAAGGCAGCUCCCUGGGUUGACACUGACGCUCAUGCACGAAAGCGUGGGGAGCAAACA
rnacentral:rRNA from 1 species